GGAAAAUGUUGGAGGGAUUCAUUCAUUUUCUUCUCCUCUCUGCUUUUAUCUCUUUCUACGACGUCGUUUCUCCACCGCUCCUCCUCCUCCUCAGACUCCCUUUUUCGGUCGAUCGGUUUGUUUUCACACCAUAUAUCAAAGUCAAGUCUACUCGAUCCAGGUUGUGGACUGUUAACGUUUGACUUACAAAUCCUCAUGCAAAAGAACCCAUUAUAGUUUUUUUUGCUGCAGUUACUUUGACGGGAAAAUGUUGGAGGCUCCAAAGUUUGCAGGACUUAUAGACUUAAAUGAAAACCCUGAUCAUUAUGGACUCUCACAAAAUUUCUACCAUAAGCUUGGUGAGGGAUCACACAUGUCAAUCGAUAGUUAUGGGAGCUUGCAGAUGAGCAAUGGUGGAGGUUCAGUUGCAAUGUCGAUGGAUAACAGCAGUGUGGGAUCAAAUGAUUCGCAUACUCGUAUUUUAAACCAUCAGGGUCUCAAGCGUGUUCACAAUAACUAUUCGGUUGCAGCUAGUGUAAAUAAGGGAAAAACUUCUCAUGGGUUGAGUGAUGAUGCCCUAGCUAAAGCAUUGAUGGAUCCUCGAUUUCCUACUAAUGGGCUUGAGAAUUAUGAUGAGUGGACAAUUGAUUUGAGGAAGCUCAACAUGGGGCCAGCUUUUGCUCAAGGGGCUUUUGGGAAACUAUACAAAGGUACUUAUAAUGGUGAGGAUGUUGCUAUCAAGCUUCUAGAGAGGCCAGAUAAUGAUCUUGAGAGGGCUCACUUGAUGGAGCAACAGUUUCAGCAGGAAGUUAUGAUGUUGGCAAGGUUGAAACAUCCAAAUAUUGUUCGGUUUAUUGGUGCAUGCCGUAAACCCAUGGUGUGGUGUAUUGUCACUGAAUAUGCUAAAGGAGGAUCAGUUCGUCAGUUUCUCACUAGGCGACAAAAUCGAUCUGUGCCCUUGAAGUUAGCAGUGAAGCAGGCGUUGGAUGUGGCAAGGGGUAUGGAAUAUGUGCAUGGCCUGAAUCUGAUACAUCGUGACCUGAAAUCUGACAACCUACUAAUUUCUGCUGAUAAAUCAAUCAAGAUUGCGGACUUUGGAGUUGCUCGUAUUGAGGUGCAGACAGAAGGAAUGACACCAGAGACUGGAACAUACCGUUGGAUGGCUCCGGAGAUGAUCCAGCACCGACCGUACACACAAAAAGUUGAUGUUUAUAGUUUUGGCAUUGUUCUGUGGGAGCUCCUAACGGGGAUGCUUCCCUUCCAGAACAUGACUGCUGUGCAGGCAGCUUUUGCAGUUGUCAACAAAGGUGUCCGUCCAACCAUCCCCACUGAUUGUUUACCUGUCCUAGCUGAAAUCAUGACUUGCUGCUGGGAUGGUAACCCUGACAAUAGACCUCCGUUCUCUCAGGUGGUCAGAAUGCUUGAGGCUGCAGAAACAGAGAUCUUGACGAAGGUCAGAAAAGCCCGUUUCAGAUGCUGCAUUAGUCAACCCAUGACUACAGAUUGAUAUGGAAAGAGAAACUGUAGGUGCAGUAAAGGGCAAGAGUAAAGGAUUUGGAAAGGCUAAGCUGAAGUGAUUCCAAAGUCUGGCAUGUGUAUCUAUGAGGCAUAAUUUCUUUGCUCAGAUAGAAAAAAGGGGAGAAAGUUAUGACAAGGAACUGUUUGAUUUUGUGUUGUAUCUUCUUUUGAUUUCCUUUUCUUCUUGAAUUUAAGAUUCUGAUUAGUGAUAAUAGAAGAGUAUGUGUAUGUAUACAUGUCCAUUU
rnacentral:misc_RNA from 1 species